GUGGUAUUGUUGACAUGAACUUGGGUUGCUGUGUAUUUACGCGCACAAUUUGGAAUCAGCUGUUCAAGGUUUUUGGGAUUCUUGUGAGAUGUUUGAAUAAAGGAUGGAAAAAGGAGACACCUAUCAUCCAACGGAUACGACAAUAUCGUUAGGCUGGUCAGCAAAAUAAAAAUCUCCAUCAAACCGUAUUGCCGUCGUAACUACAGUAUCGGAAGGCCACCACCGGACCCCGAUGGAAACUUUUUGGGAAUGAAACCCUUAUGUCAUCGUCUUCAUAUUUCUUGUUUUUUUUUUAGGGGAUGGACCACUCUGCGACCUGUUGUUAGAUCUUUUGUAGCAUUACCCCGCGUUAUUUCUAUUUCUAUAUGCUUCCAAUUACACUGCCACUUUUGAUAAGUGCCAGAUUAACACUGGUUGAGCAGUUAGAUCUUAAGUGCAACCUCACAUUACCUUUGUUCACGCAGAUCCUAAGUGCAAUGUAUGUUCCAUUGAAAGAUCUAUCCAUAUCUAUGCACUCAAGCGUAAAAAGUUCCAGAAGUGACAGCUAGCAUGCUUAAACCUCCAGCCUCCAGAGGAAAUACU